rnacentral:lncRNA from 1 species
GUGGAGACGAGAAACAAAUCGAUCCGGCUUCCGAACAACAUCAUAUGAAACCGUGCAAUUUUUUUAUUUUUUUGAUAUUUUUCUUUUAGUUAUGAGCACCAAAGGAGUAACCACAGAAAAUUUGAGCUUAAACAAGUGAAAGACAUGGCCUGUGGAAUUUUUUGAAGAUUGUGAAAAAUGUGAAAAAAACUUCACGAGGUGAAAACUCAAACUUUGGAGGUGAAUUUUGAGGUUCUAAAAUUUUCAAACCCAACAAUGGAGGGGACAGACAGAUCCAAAAAAAAUUUCGGAUCGAUUUUGAUAUAUGGAACGUUGAAAUCGGAGUUCGUAUGCGAAAGUUAUGGCUAUUUUACGUACGGACUACGAAUUAGAGGACAAAACCGUCCGAAAGUGGGAGAAAUUUGCGGUGGUGGCUAGAAAUUGAUGGAAACGGUAGGGGAAAACACACGAACUGGACUGUAAUAAGACCUAACCAGCAACAAGACCUCGACCAGGACAAACUCAACAAUGCGGACUCUGAAACUAAAAUAUGCAGAGGCUAUGGCGUGGAAGGGUUGUAGGACAGGAAAACGAUAUGUUACUGGACUUAUGGGACGAACACAGGAACACUCGAAACUAAGGGUAGAUGUGAAACUAAUGGUAUACCUAAAGCUUUGAUUACCACUUGAUGAGAAAAAGGGUGGCCCGAUCUUUCGAAAGGUUCUGGUAACUCUCGAUUUGGUGGAGACGAGACACAAAUCGAUCCGGCUUCCGAACAACACGAUCUGAAACCCUACAGUUCUUUUUUAUUUUUUUAAUAUUUUUCUUUUAGUUAGGAGCACCGAAAGAGUAACCACAUAAAAUUUGAGUUCAGACAAGUGAAAGACACGGCCUGCGGAAUUUUCUGAAGAUUGUGAAAAAUGUGAAAAAAACAUCACGAGGUGAAAACGCAAACUUGGGAGGUGAAUUUGGAGGUCCUAAAAUUUUCAAACUUGCCAAAGGCAGGGACAUACAGAUCUGAAUUUUUUUUCUGAUCGAUUUUGAUAUAUGGAACGUUGAAAUCGGAGUUCGUAUGGGAAAGUUAUGGCUAUUUUACGAACGGACUCCGAAUUAGAGGACAAAAUGGUCCAAAAGUGGGAAAAAUUUGCGGUGGUGGCUAGAAAUUGAUGGAAACGGUGGGGAAAAACACACGAACUAGACUCUAACAAGACCUAACAAGCAACAAGACCUCAACCAAGACACAAACUCAACACUGCGGACUCUGAAACUGAAAUAUGCAAAGGCUAUGGCGCGUAAGGGUUGUAGGACAUGAAAACGAUAUGGCCCUGGACGUUUGGGACGAACACAAGAACACUCGAAACUAAGGGUAGAUGUGAACCUAACAGUAUACCUAAAGCUUUGAUUACCACUUGAUGAGAACAAGGGUGACCUCAUCUUCCAAAAGGUUUGUAACUCUCGAUUUGGUGCAGACGAGACACAAAUCGAUCCGGAUUCCGAACAACACGAUCCAAAACCCUACAAUUUUUUUUAUUUUUUCGAUAUUCUUCUUUUAGUUAGGAGUAACCACAGAAAAUUUGAGCUUAAACAAGUGAAAGACAUGGCCUGUGGAAUUUUCUGAAGAUUGUGAAAAAUGUGAAAAAAACUUCACGAGGUGAAAACUCAAAGUUCGGAGGAGAAUUUUAAGGUUCUAAAAUUUUCAAACCUCCCUACAAUGGGGACAUGCAGAUCCGAAAUUUUUUUCUGAUCGAUUUUGAUAUAUGGAACAUUGAAAUCGGAGUUCGUAUGCGAAAGUUAUGGCUAUUUUACAAACGAACUCUGAAUUAUAGGACAAAACGGUCCGAAAGUGGAAAAAAUUUGCGGCGGUGGCUAGAAAUUGAUGGAAACAAAGGGGAAAAGACACAAACUGGACUCUAACAAGACCUAUCCAGCAACAAGACCUCGACCAGGACAAACUCAACACUGCAGACUCUAAAACUGAAAUAUGCAGAGGCUAUGGCGCGGAAGGGUUGUAGGACUGGAAAACGAUAUGUUAUUGGACUUAUGGGACGAACACAGGAACACUCGAAACAAAGGGUAGAUGUGAACCUAAUGGUAUACCUAAUGCUUUGAUUACCACUUGAUGAGAACAAGGGUGGCCUGAUCUUCCGAAAGGUUCUGGUAACUCUCGAUUUGGUGGAGACGAGACACAAAUCGAUCCGGCUUCCGAACAACACGAUCCGAAACCUUGCAAUUGUUUUUUAUUUUUUUGAUAUUUUUAUUUUAGUUAGGAGCACCAAAAGAGUAACCACAUAAAAUUUGAGUUUAAACAAGUGAAAAACAUGGCCUGUGGAAUUAUCUGAAGAUUGUGAAAAAUGUGAAAAAACUUCACGAGGUGAAAACUCAAACUUUGGAGGUGAAUUUGCAGGUUCUAAAAUUUUCAAACCCACCAAAAGCUAGGACACACAGAUCCAAAAAUUUUUUCUGAUCGAUUUUGAUAUAUGGAACGUUGAAAUAGGAGUUCGUAUGGGAAAGUUAUGGCUAUUUUACGAACGGACUCCGAAUUAGAGGACAAAACGGUCCAAAAGUGGGAAAAAUUUGCGGUGGUGGCUAGAAAUUGAUGGAAACGGUGGGGAAAAACACACGAACUGGACUCUAACUAGACCUAACCAGCAACAGGACCUCAACAAGAACACAAACUCAACACUGCGGACUCUGAAACUGAAAUAUGCAAAGGCUUUGGCGCGAAAGGGUUGUAGGACACGAAAAUGAUAUAGCACUGGACUUAUGGUACAAACACAAGAACACUCGAAACUAAGGGUGGAUGUGAACCUAACUGUAUACCUAAAACUUUGAUUACCACUUGAUGAGAACAAGAGUGACCUGAUCUUCCAAAAGGUUCUGGUAACUCUAGAUUUGGUGGAGACGAGAAACAAAUCGAUCCGGCUUCCGAACAACAUCAUAUGAAACCGUGCAAUUUUUUUAUUUUUUUGAUAUUUUUCUUUUAGUUACGAGCACCAAAGGAGUAACCACAGAAAAUUUGAGCUUAAACAAGUGAAAGACGUGGCCUGUGGAAUUUUUUGAAGAUUGUGAAAAAUGUGAAAAAAACUUCACGAGGUGAAAACUCAAACUUUGGAGGUGAAUUUUGAGGUUCUAAAAUUUUCAAACCCAACAAUGGAGGGGACAGACAGAUCC